GACGGACGGCGCGGACUGUCGUGAGGGAGGGAGAGGCGGUCGCAGCCAUGCGAGGGGGACAACGCCGCCGCACAACAACAACAACAACAACAGCGAUGGAGGCAGAGACACAAGGACUGAAAUGAAACUAUUCAAGACUGGGGAUGGAAAUUUUUGGACGCUUUGGGAGUCUAAGACUGGGAUUUUGGAGCAUAGUGGAUACGAGGUACAGAAUCAGGAAAUAACGAAGGAGAGGAAUAAUAACAUUCUGUCCUCAUUUGAAAUGUAAACAAGUCAGCAACAAUAACAGGCAAGAAAAAUAAUGAACAGAAAUAUUAACAGGAUGAAUGUGAAAGGAUGCUCAUUUGGAGCAUAAAGUUCUUAUACGGAUACAAAGGAGCAAAUAGGAAGCACCUGUAUUGCAGCUUCAAGAUGGCGGAAAGGUUUUGGGAGUCAGGAUGUGAUUCAUUCACUACAGGAUAUUUAACCUUAGAUCUGUUUUUCAUUUAUGAUUUCAAGCCAGAGAGGGAGAUUGUGACAAGGGAGAGGAUGAGAGAGGAAGCAGAAGAGAAAGUGGAAGAAGGAGAAGGAAGAUGGGAGGAAGGGAAACAAAGUGGGCUGCCUCCCUCCCAGUUGUGUUCUCCUGUUGCAGAUACGAGGAAGACUGAGCCACUGGGACAGACCCAAGACCACCAGUGCCACUGUGUAAUUCAGAUUAGACCAUCAUGAAAGAAGCCCUAAUUAGCCAGCACCUCUACCUGUGGCUAAGACUGAGUGGCUAGGGCAAGCCUGAGUUGCCUGAAUCUCUACCUGCCCACAGACAACGAGGGACUGCACCCACACACACACAGAGGCAAAGACUGGCUGCCGGAAUAAUCCAGAUACCUCCAGUGCCGCCUCUCCAAACCCAACGUUGAGCUGCCAGGAAGAAUCCUGUACCAUCAGCAGCUCCUCUCGAGGCAGGGGCGAACUGCAGGUAGAAGCCUGAAAUCGCCAAGCUUCCUCCCUCAAAGACCAGGCCUAAGCUGCUGGGACAAGCCCGAGAUUGCCAACAUCAUCGCACGUGCACUCUGAUGGCAAGGGUUAGUGCCCCCAUGGAGUCCUGGACUUGCUUACCACUAAUGGACUAAACCAUGUGAGUUCACCCUAUUGCGAGUGUCAAUGUGGUCACUGGCGAACCAUGGACCAGAAUUGUACAUAAUACCCUAACUGUAUCCUAAGUAUUUUUUUUUCAGUUCCAGCAUUGCCUUUCUACUCUUAUACUGUCUGUCUGAAACACUUAAGGCAAGUAUCACUAAUCCCUACUUUAUUACCUUCUGUUGACGUGCACUCCCAAAAUCCCAGUUUUUCUCAACUUAUUUUUUGUAUACGCUAUUUUUCAUUGUGACCCCAUUAGUUGUUUGCCCUAUUCACAGGCAUUAUUUUACGCUAAUCCUGACUGAAUUACAUUUGCCUCUUUUAUGUCCAUUAAACUUUCAUGAUCUCUAUGAUAUUCUGCUUCACUAUUUGCCCCGCUACCUGUUUUGGAAUCAUUGGCUGAGUCCACAAUCACAGUUCUGCAUUUAAAUCCCAGAUAUCCAUGUAUGUUGCAAAGAGAAAGGAACCCUGUGAAAUCUUUCUGUUGCAGCCCCCCAGUCACUUAAGCUUUAAUACUCUUUCCUUUCUCCCACUGAAAAAACAAUGUAAUCCAAGAGCCACCAUUUUUUUGGACCACGUAGUCAUUCACAUUAUAAUCAAUCUGCCUUGUAGGGUUUUGUAAAAUAUCUGCAAAAUUCUGUGAAAAGUACGUCAAAAUCACUAUCCUCAUGCACACAGGGUGGUACAGUAGCGUAGCUGGUAGCGUUUUUGCCUCACAGCGCCAUACACCCGGGUUCGAU